rnacentral:rRNA from 1 species
CCUACGGGAGGCAGCAGUAGGGAAUAUUGCUCAAUGGGGGAAACCCUGAAGCAGCAACGCCGCGUGGAGGAUGAAGGUUUUCGGAUUGUAAACCCCUUUUGUUAGAGAAGAUAAUGACGGUAUCUAACGAAUAAGCACCGGCUAAUUCCGUGCCAGCAGCCGCGGUAAUACGGAGGGUGCAAGCGUUACUCGGAAUCACUGGGCGUAAAGAGAGCGUAGGCGGUUUAGCAAGUCAGAUGUGAAAGCCUAUGGCUUAACCAUAGAACUGCAUUUGAAACUGUUAGUCUAGAGUAUGGGAGAGGUAGGUGGAAUUCUUGGUGUAGGGGUGAAAUGCGUAGAGAUCAAGAGGAACACUGAUUGCGAAGGCGACCUGCUAGAACGUAACUGACGCUGAUGCGCGAAAGCGUGGGGAGCAAACAGGAUUAGAUACCCGGGUAGUC